AAUACUCGCGUAAAUUGAGAGUUAUCUGUAUUGCCAACUGAAAUAUUUACAACUACUUGUUCAAAAAAUCAAUCAAGUAAUUGGUGAAGCUAUGCAAAAAUGCCGCUAUAUUGGACGAGAACAUCGGCCAGUUACUCAUCUGCAUAUUUUACGCUCUAGGCUGAUAUGAUUUUCCACCAAAUUUAGUGGAAAACCCACUGAAUUGGCAAUGCUGGGGGUAAGAAAUAGUGUUAGAACACUCUUAUACGCGGGAAAUUUGAGUGUGACUGGAACUCGCAGUGAGGAUUUAGCACCACCGGCAAGUUACGCUGGUCCUCACCGCGAGGAUUUAGCAACGAAAGGGUUAACAGUGAAACUCUCAAUACUGCCGUGGAGUUCAUUGGAGAGCACAAUAGCACCCACUAUGUUUGAUAUCUUGAGGUCUUGGUGACCCCAGGAAAAGCACUUGGCGACCCCACUUGGGGUCAUGACCCCAGGGUUGGGAAAGGGGCCUUAGUUGCGCAGUGUUGCAUGCCUGACGUGUGUGUGUCUGGCAGGCCAUAUGUAAACAAGGGAUGGCAAGGUGAGGUGUGUGUGUCAACAAGGGGUGGCAAGGUGUGGUGUGUGUGUCAACAAGGGGUGGCAAGGUGUGGUGUGUGUGUCAACAAGGGAUGGCAAGGUGUGGUGUGUGUGUCAACAAGGGGUGGCAAGGUGUGGUGUGUGUGUCAACAAGGGAUGGCAAGGUGUGGUGUGUGUGUCAACAAGGGAUGGCAAGGUGUGGUGUGUGUGUCAACAAGGGAUGGCAAGGUGUGGUGUGUGUGUCAACAAGGGAUGGCAAGGUGAGGUGUGUGUGUCAACAAGGGAUGGCAAGGUGUGGUGUGUGUGUCAACAAGGGAUGGCAAGGUGUGGUGUGUGUGUCAACAAGGGAUGGCAAGGUGUGGUGUGUGUGUCAACAAGGGGUGGCAAGGUGAGGUGUGUGUGU